CGCAAAGAACUAACAAGGAUUCCCCUAGUAACGGCGAGUGAACCGGGAAGAGCUCAAAUUUGAAAUCUGGCGUCCUCAGGGCGUCCGAGUUGUAAUCUAUAGAGGCGUUUUCCGCCCCGGACCGUGUAUAAGUCUCCUGGAACGGAGUAUCAAAGAGGGUGACAAUCCCGUGCUUUACACGACGACCGGUGCUAUGUGAUACGUCUUCUACGAGUCGAGUUGUUUGGGAAUGCAGCUCAAAACGGGUGGUAAACUCCAUCUAAAGCUAAAUAUUGGUGGGAGACCGAUAGCGAACAAGUACCGUGAGGGAAAGAUGAAAAGCACUUUGGAAAGAGAGUUAAACAGUAUGUGAAAUUGUUGAAAGGGAAACGAUUGAAGUCAGUCGUGUCCAUUGGGUUCAGCCGGUCCUGCCGGUCUACUCCCUUUGGACGGGUCAACAUCAGUUCUGAUCGGCGGAUAAUGGCACGGGGAACGUGGCACCCUCCGGGGUGUGUUAUAGCCUCGCGUCGCAUACGCUGGUCGGGACUGAGGAACGCAGCUCGCCCUCACGGGCCGGGGUUCGCCCACGUCCGAGCUUAGGAUGUUGACAUAAUGGCUUUAAACGACCCGUCUUGAAACACGGACCAAGGAGUCUAACAUAUCUGCGAGUGUUUGGGUGUCAAAC
rnacentral:rRNA from 1 species